rnacentral:rRNA from 1 species
UACGUAGGGGGCUAGCGUUGUCCGGAUUUAUUGGGCGUAAAGAGCGUGUAGGCGGCCAUGUAGGUCCUGUGUGAAAACUCGAGGCUUAACCUCGAGAUGUCAUCGGAAACCAUUUGGCUAGAGUCCGGAAGAGGAGAGUGGAAUUCCUGGUGUAGCGGUGAAAUGCGCAGAUAUCAGGAGGAACACCAAUGGCGAAGGCAGCUCGCUGGGACGGUACUGACGCUGAGACGCGAAAGCGUGGGGAGCAAACAGG